ensembl:lncRNA
UGUGCCAUAAAUCAGAAGGAACGUCAGAGCUUCACACAAAAUCAACUACAGAGUUGAUUUUGAUAUCGUAGUUUUUUCAGAAUAACAAGGAAAUGAGUAUAAAUUAAUUGUUGCCAUAUGGCAACUCCGUACCAUAGAGGGUUAACAAACAUGAAUCCUGUAGACUAUUACUACAAUGAUAUAGCAUCAGCAGCAGAUACAAGUACUAUUCUUAUUAUCCUACUUCAUACAGUGUAUAUUAACCACCUCGUUAGAUUCACACUAGAAAAUUAAAUCUACAACUUGCUGUUCUUGUAAAUGUCUGACAGUUCUGCAGGAGCACAGGAUGUAAACAAAGUCAGUGAUAAAAUCAACAAAUCAUAAUAAAUAAUAAAAGAUAUGACUGCUAUUAUACAUGUUUGGUAUAAAAUAACUAUAAAAUAACCAUAAUAAAUAACAAUACUUUUAGGCUAAGAGUUUUUUUUUUUUUUUUUUUUUAGUUUGAAGGUUUGAGUGUCAGCCAAAGAAAGAGCAGCAUCACUCAAAUACUCUAGCAAACACAUUAAGCACAGCUUUAACAUAUCAGAAUAAUUCAUCAAUACAAACUUAAUUAAUGACUUUAAAACAAACGAGGACUGCAAUAUGAAGCGUGACAGUGACUUUACAAGAGAAACGCACUUUAUGCGUAAAGUUACUCACAGGAGAGAAGUGCAGGAGAUCCCGGAAAUUAUGGAGCAUCAAAUGUUUGGCGCGGAUAGCGGAGGUAAUGGAAAUAAUGAGAAAAGAAGAAAAGUGUGGAUUAUGUCUUUGAAACUGACGAUGAAAAGGGAAAUCUUCUGGCAAGAAGAAACAUAAGGUCAGUUAUUGUUGAUCAGUCUACUGAAACUAAGCAAAUGAUAAGAAUUAUAGAAAGUGUCCAUUCUCUAGGAAUGGAGCAUUUAAGGAUAAUGUUGAAGCAAAAAAAAAAAAAAAAAAAAAACUCUGUAAGUGCAAUCGCCCUAGCAGGGUUCCUACGUAGAAUGUAUAGAAUUUGAUUUCAGUAAUUUCCAGGACUGGAUAUGAAAAAAUGAAAACAGAGUAUGGGUAAAAAGGUUUGAGUUUCCAGACUAUUGGCCUAUUGAUUCUACACUAUAGACUUUUGAUUCUGUUGAUCAGGAACAAUAGAUAGAUGUAUAAAGCACUCUAAAAAAAUACUGAAAUGUUCUAUAAUGAGUUUAUUUGAUUUUUAAUACUAACUUUUUUCUUGAUAAAGCAAUGUUUCCUUAAUUGAAAAAUAUUUGAAGGAUACAUGCUAUUUUAAUGUAUUAUUUACUAAAUUAUUAGAAUUAAUAAUUAGUUUAUUUAAUGUAAAAUCUUUUUAGUAGCCUAGUUUUUUUUUUUGUUUGUUUGUUUGUUUUUUUUGCUAUAGUGCAGAGAAGUCUGAAAUUGACUACUGAAAUUUAGUUUAGUUAUUUAGUGGCUCAGUGCUGCAACAGAAUGCUAGAAAUGUCUUCUUUGAUUGUAGCUUCGAUUGGAACUUUUUCCCCCAAAGACUUCAGUUGAGCUACAUACAAAUAAAUAAUUAACAAGGAAACA